AGUUGUGGCCUAAGCUACCAAAGUCGUCGAUUCCGCGGCGGAAUCAUCUUGCAACCCUUUACAUCCAAGCCGUAUGUCGUCUUCUGUGGCUAAGCCGCCUUCUGCCGUCUUCAUGUAAACGCCACUAGUGAGUGCACAAUGAACUUGGCACAACGCCCUACGAGGAGCCUCCAGUCGUAGCUCGUCGUUUGGCCUCCUCAGCUCUGCAAGCACGUAUCACGUUGACCACCUAGGUAGAACCACAGUUGUUCUGCGCCAAUGCCUUCUGGUCCACAAGGAUUCUGGCCCAGGGUACAAUUCGGUACCUCUGGAAGGAAACAAAUGUCGAUCUACGUCACAUUAUGUCUUGUGCUGGUGUGCGCACGGCAGCAUAACAAUGGAGCUGACAAGUCCACCAUUCCAAACGCUACACGGAGACACCAGAUGCCAGCAACAGCGUCGGAUAUAGUGGUGUAUCUGUUCUGAUAUAAACAGAAUCUCUGUC